UGAUGAAGAUGAAUGAAGUUAUGCAGACGAUGUGGUUUUGGAGUAUGAACUUUGUGAUAUGGUUAGUGAGUUAGAAAUUGAAGGUUUGUUGUUUGUUUAUGGUGGAAAAGUUGGUGUUACAUGAAAAAGAAAGGUUUAUAAAUGGUGAUUUAUUUAAAGAAGGAUUUGUAUGUAUGAGAUGUAGGUUGAUGGAUGUGUGUUGUAUGAAGUUGGUGGAAGGUUUGAGGAAAAGGUUU
rnacentral:lncRNA from 1 species